GACGUAGGGCGCGAGCGUUGUCCGGAUUUAUUGGGCGUAAAGAGCUCGUAGGCGGCUUGUCGCGUCGUCCGUGAAAAACCUGGGGGCUCAACUCCAGGCUUGCGGGUCGAUACGGGGCAGGCUCGAGUUUCGGUAGGGGGAGACUGGAAUUCCUGGUGUAGCGGUGAAAAUGCGCAGAUAUCAGGGAGGAAACACCCCGGUGGGCGAAAGGGCGGGGCCCCCUGGC
rnacentral:rRNA from 1 species